AGGGACAGGACUGGCUUAUGGUUCUCUUCUUGCAAGUUCUCUUGUACUGUUUUGGCUCUUAUCGUCCUCCUAAAGUGGCCAUGUCUACAACUCAGUAGCCCUGUGCUCCUACGCCAUCCCUGGCACACUGCUUCAUCUGCACCUCUGCAAAAAUCCCUCCUCAAAACACGGUGCACAGAGGAAACACAACCCUCAGGCAGCGCUGCGUGGACACCUCCAUCUCAGAGCCUGCUGCCUGCCGUGCUUCUUUCUGGUGGCCUCCUGUCCUCUUGCCAUACAGAUGGAAAUCAGAGCAGCUACCUCACAGAGUGGCCAUGAAUACCGAAGUGAGGGCUCAUACUUGCCUAUUUCCACUGCCAUGGAAUGAGGACCAAGGUUGGUGACUCCUCUGAGAAUGGAUGGUUGUGACACUGCUUUCCUUGACCCAUCCAGAAGGCUCACAAGUGAGACUUUGCUGAAUCAGUUUCAAGUACAGGGAUGAUCCCAUUCUCUCCUUGCCUUAGGAAGGCCUCAGGAGGCUCCAACAUCACACCUGAAGAAACCUGGGCAGAUCCUCUACCAGCAGCUGAACUCCUUUGGAUGACUGGGAAUGACUUUCCCCUAGAUUGACUGUGGCCCCGGCUGGCUUUCUGUUCUCCCAUUCACCACUUGAAAGAUACCAAUGGUCCUCUCUCAACCCUCACUCUCAACGUUAUGAUCAUGGCCAGGGCUCUUUGCUCUUUAAACACUAAUUCCUAGUCCUCUCUGAACUUGAGUAAAGUCUUCUGUGGUUAUUAGAGACUGAUUAAGAAAAGCACAGAACCAGCAGUGUCUCCUGAGAUCCACGCCAUGUUGGAACUUAGGACUCUGGGAAGCCAAGCAAGCACCUCCCCUCCCUGGUAAACAGUGGUGGUCUGGCUGACUGCAGCCCUUCCAGGGGGAGAACCAGCAGCAGCUCCUGAGAUUCCCCACCAUGUUGGAACUGAGGACGCUGUAAAAACAAAUGACCAUCCUGUCUCCCUGCUAAGCAAUAGUGAACCUACUGCUACAUGGCCUAGAGUCAAAUAUCCCACUUCCCCUAUCCCCCCUCCUCGCCCAUUAGCAAAUGGGAACCAGAAAUCUGAGCAUCUCUUGGGAGGUUGACCAUAGCAAAUAAGGGGGACUUCCUUCUACCAUUUCUUUGAAGGCAAAUAUUUUUAUUACUUUUUUGCUCUUUUCUGAUUAAUGGUACUGCUCUAUUCAAUAUUCUGUUUUGAUAAGUUCUAUAGUGUUCUAUAUUUCAUCUCAUUUUGAUAUAGGUGAUUGAAAGAACAACUAUUAUAAAUAUAACAAAAUAUACUGUGAUACCUAUUACUGUUAUCCUGGUAACCUGCUGUGAAGUUCUGUACCAAUUUCACUGUACGAUCUUAGUUGGCUUUAUUCUGACUUGUUCUGUUGUAUACUUUCAAAAUAAAAUUUAAAAAAAGAAAA